AGAAUCAACGCUGGCGGCGUGCCUAACACAUGCAAGUCGAACGAGAAAGUGGAGCAAUCCAUGAGUAAAGUGGCGACCGGGUGAGUAACACGUGACUAACCUACCUUCGAGUGGGGGAUAACCUCGGGAAACCGAGGCUAAUACCGCAUAACAUCGUGAGAUCAAAGCAGUAAUGCGCUGGAAGAGGGGGUCGCGGCUGAUUAGCUAGUUGGCGGGGUAAUGGCCCACCAAGGCGAAGAUCGGUAGCCGGCCUGAGAGGGCGCACGGCCGACACUGGAACUGAAACACGGUCCAGACUCCUACGGGAGGCAGCAGUGGGGAAUUUUGCGCAAUGGGGGAAACCCUGACGCAGCAACGCCGCGUGGAGGAUGAAGUCCCUUGGGACGUAAACUCCUUUCGACCAAGACGAUAAUGACGGUACUGGUGGAAGAAGCAACCGGCUAACUCUGUGCCAGCAGCCGC
rnacentral:rRNA from 1 species